rnacentral:rRNA from 1 species
AGAUUGAACGCUGGCGGCAGGCCUAACACAUGCAAGUCGAGCGGCAGCACGGGUACUUGUACCUGGUGGCGAGCGGCGGACGGGUGAGUAAUGCCUAGGAAUCUGCCUGGUAGUGGGGGAUAACGCUCGGAAACGGACGCUAAUACCGCAUACGUCCUACGGGAGAAAGCAGGGGACCUUCGGGCCUUGCGCUAUCAGAUGAGCCUAGGUCGGAUUAGCUAGUUGGUGGGUAAUGGCUCACCAAGGCGACGAUCCGUAACUGGUCUGAGAGGAUGAUCAGUCACACUGGAACUGACGUACACGGUCCAGACU